CCUACGGGAGGCAGCAGUGAGGAAUAUUGGUCAAUGGCCGAGAGGCUGAACCAGCCAAGUCGCGUGAGGGAUGAAGGUUCUAUGGAUCGUAAACCUCUUUUAUAAGGGAAUAAAGUGCGGGACGUGUCCCGUUUUGUAUGUACCUUAUGAAUAAGGAUCGGCUAACUCCGUGCCAGCAGCCGCGGUAAUACGGAGGAUCCGAGCGUUAUCCGGAUUUAUUGGGUUUAAAGGGUGCGUAGGCGGCCUUUUAAGUCAGCGGUGAAAGUCUGUGGCUCAACCAUAGAAUUGCCGUUGAAACUGGGGGGCUUGAGUAUGUUUGAGGCAGGCGGAAUGCGUGGUGUAGCGGUGAAAUGCAUAGAUAUCACGCAGAACCCCGAUUGCGAAGGCAGCCUGCCAAGCCAUUACUGACGCUGAUGCACGAAAGCGUGGGGAUCAAACA
rnacentral:rRNA from 1 species